UACAGAGGGUGCGAGCGUUAAUCGGAAUUACUGGGCGUAAAGCGUGCGUAGACGGCUAUCUAAGUCGGGUGUGAAAGCCCCGGGCUCAACCUGGGAACUGCAUUUGUGACUGCAAGGCUGGAGUACGGUAGAGGGGGAUGGAAUUCCGCGUGUAGCAGUGAAAUGCGUAGAUAUGCGGAGGAACACCGAUGGCGAAAGCAAUCCCCUGGACCUGUACUGACGCUCAUGCACGAAAGCGUGGGGAGCAAACAGG
rnacentral:rRNA from 1 species